UUGGUCAUUCUUUCAUAAAACGCCGUCGUCGCACAAACACGUUCGCGGAUCCGCGAUAAACUGUUCUAAUUUAGUGGUUAACUGUUAUAAUCAACUGGUAUACUGUAUACAAAAAAGCAGUGUUGUCUCGUCUUUGCGAUUACGCCGUUCAGUUUUUAGCACAGCGCCGCUCCCCUCGCCCUUACCAACGCCGCGUAGAGGCAAACGAAAGAGAGAAAGAAAAAAUAAAAAAAUCAUUGAAUAUUUUAUGCCGUCUUUCGUCGGGAAUCAAACGGUCAAACGGUGUACACGCACUCGGAGGUGCGCUUAAAUCAAUCAAUAAAGCAUAUAAAAAAUUCCAAUAAGAAAUCGUCUACUGCAAAUCUCAAAUCAGAAAAUACAUACCACUUGUGUGUGCAAUUUCAAUGCGAAAAGUGCCAAUCACCUGUGUAAAUUUUUCUCAUAAUAUUUUAUUGGUAUUGUAUUUUUUGCGGUGGCACAAGUGCAUGUGAGUGUGUUGGUGUGUGAACAAGCGGUGGAGCACAGUGACGGUCGGCCUAUCAAAUGAGCCACAGACCCAAAAGCCAUAUAAGAAAAUAAGUGAUAGAUGAUGAAAAUAACACAACAGUAGUGAAGUAAAACGACACAAUUGCUACAACAACAACAACAACAUAAGCAGCAAGCAAAGAAAUCUGCAAAUUACAAAAGAGCGCAAAAGAAAACACCUUAAAAAAUAAAGUGCAAAGUGGCAAAAGUAUCAGAGUGUGUAAGUGUGUGUGGAACGAAUAAGCAAACCAAAAAAAAAAAAAAGAACGGCGAUACAACAACAACAAAUGUAAAUAUUACAGACAACAAACGCCGCAAAACGUCAACAACUUCGCAAAAGCAGCAGUAAGCAGCCAAAAAAAUAACUUUUUAAACGCUACAACUUUUAAUGGUUACACUCUUUAUUGACCAUUGGAUACUAAAAUAGUCAAAAGACUUUUCGUGUCAUUUAAACCAGCCGAUAGAGAAAUUAAUAAGUGAUCCAUUAUUCCACACAACAGCAGGAUUCCUUAAAAGCUAUCGAACCGUUUUUUUCGUGUGGAUUUAGAGCAUCGAGCAGAUUUAAUCAACGUGUGCCCAUGGAAUCAAGUGGAUUAAGUAGUAAACAACCAAC